rnacentral:rRNA from 1 species
UCGAGAAUCUUCGGCAAUGGGCGCAAGCCUGACCGAGCGACGCCGCGUGCGGGAUGAAGGUCUUCGGAUUGUAAACCGCUGUCGGAGGGGAUGAAGUGCAGGGGGGUACUCCCCCCUGUUUGACAGAGCCUCGGAGGAAGCACGGGCUAAGUUCGUGCCAGCAGCCGCGGUAAUACGAACUGUGCGAACGUUAUUCGGAAUCACUGGGCUUAAAGGGUGCGUAGGCGGCGGCUCCAGUCAGGUGUGAAAUCCCCCGGCUCAACCGGGGAACAGCGCUUGAAACUAGGUCGCUCGAGUGAGGCAGGGGUGCAUGGAACUUCCGGUGGAGCGGUGAAAUGUGUAGAGAUCGGAAGGAACGCCGGCGGCGAAAGCGGUGCACUGGGCCUUGUCUGACGCUGAGGCACGAAAGCUAGGGGAGUGAACGGGAUUAGAUACCCCCGUAGUCC